ACGAUGCUGGCCAAGGUGGAGCAUUGCGCCAUCUUCGCCCUGGCGAGUGCUUCCAUGCGUUCGAUUCAUCUGCUUUGUGCC
rnacentral:tRNA from 1 species